rnacentral:tRNA from 1 species
AAAAUGUGUAACCGAAUAAAAGCUGCUAACUUUAUAUUCAAGUGGUGAAAUUCCAUUUACAUUUUA